CGAGGAGGAGGACGAGGAAGACGAGGAUUUGUGCUCGCUCAGCGAAACUCUAAUAGCUGAGUUGGCAUUGAGAGACGAGUAGAUAUCACCACGUGACAAAAAAGAGAAACCAAAUACAAAAUAGUAACAGCCCUUUGCCGCAGCAUAGAUCCAUACAAGAUUCCAAGUAUUUGACAACAGUGAUACCUUAUCACGUGGAUAGUGGCCCACCUGAUGAUCAAGCUUUACAAGUCCUCAUUAAGAUAUUAAAGGCUAUUGAUGAGGAUAGUCCAACGGUUCCCACAUUAUUAACGGACUACAUAUUGAAAG